UACGAGGGGAGCAAGCGUUGUUCGGAUUUACUGGGCGUAAAGGGCGCGUAGGCGGCGUGACAAGUCACUUGUGAAAUCUCCGGGCUUAACUCGGAACGGUCAAGUGAUACUGUCGUGCUAGAGUACAGAAGGGGCAACUGGAAUUCUCGGUGUAGCGGUGAAAUGCGUAGAUAUCGAGAGGAACACCUGCGGCGAAGGCGGGUUGCUGGGCUGAUACUGACGCUGAGGCGCGAAAGCCAGGGGAGCGAACAGG
rnacentral:rRNA from 1 species